AUUGAACGCUGGCGGCAUGCCUUACACAUGCAAGUCGAACGGUAACAGGUUAAGCUGACGAGUGGCGAACGGGUGAGUAAUGUAUCGGAACGUGCCCAGUCGUGGGGGAUAACUGCUCGAAAGAGCAGCUAAUACCGCAUACGACCUGAGGGUGAAAGCGGGGGAUCGCAAGACCUCGCGCGAUUGGAGCGGCCGAUAUCAGAUUAGGUAGUUGGUGAGGUAAAGGCUCACCAAGCCGACGAUCUGUAGCUGGUCUGAGAGGACGACCAGCCACACUGGGACUGAGACACGGCCCAGACUCCUACGGGAGGCAGCAGUGGGGAAUUCUGGACAAAGGGCGCAAGCCUGAUCCAGCCAUGCCGCGUGCAGGAAGAAGGCCUUCGGGUUGUAAACCGCUUUUGUCAGGGAAGAAAAGGUUCUGGCUAAUACCUGGGACUCAUGACGGUACCUGAAGAAUAAGCACCGGCUAACUACGUG
rnacentral:rRNA from 1 species